GACAGAGGUUGCAAACGUUGUUCGGAAUUACUGGGCAUAAAGCGCACGUAGGCGGUCCGUUACGUCAUGUGUGAAAUCCCCCGGCUCAACCGGGGAAUUGCGCAUGAUACUGGCGGGCUAGAGAUCGAUAGGGGUGAGCGGAACUCCAGGUGGAGCGGUGAAAUGCGUAGAUAUCUGGAGGAACACCGGUGGCGAAAGCGGCUCACUGGAUCGAAACUGACGCUGAGGUGCGAAAGCUAGGGUAGCAAACGGG
rnacentral:rRNA from 1 species